UACGUAGGGCGCAAGCGUUAUCCGGAAUUAUUGGGCGUAAAGAGCUCGUAGGCGGUUUGUCGCGUCUGCCGUGAAAGUCCGGGGCUCAACUCCGGAUCUGCGGUGGGUACGGGCAGACUAGAGUGCAGUAGGGGAGACUGGAAUUCCUGGUGUAGCGGUGAAAUGCGCAGAUAUCAGGAGGAACACCGAUGGCGAAGGCAGGUCUCUGGGCCACUACUGACGCUGAGAAGCGAAAGCAUGGGGAGCAAACAGG
rnacentral:rRNA from 1 species